AAAAAAAAAAAAAAAUUCAAAUGUUGAAUUGGCUUAAUUCAGAUUCAACUGAAUCUAAAUUAAAAUCUAAUCAAAACUGAAAUUAGCUUUGUGGUUUGAUUCAAGGCCCUUCCCUCCUCAGAUCGAAACCAGCUAUCGGCUCUUUCCAACUAAGACUGUCGCUUGAGCGUCAAGGGCACAAAGCCUGGCUACUGAGCUUAUAUGGUGUAUUGUUAUCCAUUAUAAAAUACAUGAUAAAAUAUAAGCAU
rnacentral:misc_RNA from 1 species